CCUUACUUAAUUUAUAUUUGUAUACCACCGUAUCUAGUAAUUAUAUAAAAUUAAUUACAAAAAAAAUUUUUUUAAAAAAUCAGGUCAAGGUGCAAUUUAAUUAAGAUGAAAUGAAUUACAUUUUUAUAUCAAACCUAUAAAUAUUGAAACAUAUUUAAAAAUAGAAUUUGUCAGUAAAAUCUUAUCAUAAUGGUUUUUUGAAAAUUAACAUUAAUAUGUACAUAUCGCCCG
rnacentral:rRNA from 1 species